UACGAAGGUGGCAAGCGUUGUUCGGAUUUACUGGGCGUACAGGGAGCGUAGGCGGUUGGAUAAGCCCUCCGUGAAAUCUCCAGGCUUAACCUGGAAAGUGCAGAGGGGACUGUUCAGCUAGAGGAUGGGAGAGGAGCGCGGAAUUCCCGGUGUAGCGGUGAAAUGCGUAGAGAUCGGGAGGAAGGCCGGUGGCGGAAGGCGGCGCUCGUGGAACAUUUCUGACGCUGAGGCUCGAAAGCGUGGGGAGCAA
rnacentral:rRNA from 1 species